rnacentral:misc_RNA from 1 species
UGAAUAGAACGGAGUGCUGUAAGCAGUAGAGUAGCCUUGUUGCUACGAUCUGCUGAGGCUCAGCUUUUGUUCUACAGAUUUGUCCUUUUGGACUCUCUAUGGUUAGCAUGGACUGGGGGGCAACUCCAGCAUCCUGAUCAUAGACAGUUAUAAGGUGACAAGUUGUGUAGUGAGAGUAAGUAAGUGAGAAUCAUUUGAACGAGAAUGGAGGCAUGGGGAUCAAAAACGGUUACAGAGUUGGACUUUGUGUGUUUCUGCAAGUUCCAAGGAUGGACUGGGGGAGACAAGGGGUCUCUAGCAGGGCGGUUCAGGACUUGGACAAGGCAGACUGGCAGCUGGCAGGCUUGGGUAGGUACUGGUAGAGCGUACUUGGUGACAAAGACCAAGUAUGACUUACUGGUGCACUCAAGUUUGCCAGCUUUUCUGUUUGACCGUCCAGGGUGGACCAGCUUAUAAGUGCUCUUCAAACAUACUAUCAUCUACGGCCAUAGG